CUAUCAUCUCAGGCAUGCAGGUACCUCCUCCAACAAUUGUCAUCUCACGGAUGCAGGGCUGUGGAUACCUCCUCCAACCUCCAUCACCAAAGCUUCGAGAGCACCACCCCGAAGAGCGUAUGAUGGGAAACCAGCUCUGUAUUUUCAACUCUACCCUUUACUUUAAUUACUCCAGAUUCAGAUUUGCCAGAAACUUCUAACUCAUGAGUGAAGAAAAGGAACCUGAAAUACAAUCAAAAUGUAACAGUAUUCUGUAUCUAUAAAUGUU